UACGUAGGGUGCAAGCGUUGUCCGGAAUUAUUGGGCGUAAAGAGCUCGUAGGCGGUUUGUCGCGUCUGCUGUGAAAACUCGGGGCUUAACCCCAGGCCUGCAGUCGAUACGGGCGGACUUGAGUACUGCAGGGGAGACUGGAAUUCCUGGUGUAGCGGUGAAAUGCGCAGAUAUCAGGAGGAACACCGGUGGCGAAGGCGGGUCUCUGGGCAGUAACUGACGCUGAGGAGCGAAAGCGUGGGGAGCGAACAGG
rnacentral:rRNA from 1 species